CACAGCACUGAGCAGCAACGCGUGAUGAAACACGCAGAGUUUGGAGUUUUUGUGUUUAUCAGUGAAAACUCGCCUCCUGUGAGUUAGUGAAUGGCCCUUGACUAUUCAAGUGUACGUUGAGUGUUUCUAGAGGCCAGAGACAAAGGAUAGAGGAGAUGGGUGAAAGAGACAAUGAGAAAAUGAGGAUAAACAUGGAGGCGGAGGAAGAGAAGGAAGGGACGUCAACACAAAGGAAGAAAAAACAGCGGCGAACCAGAUGACCGUCUCGAGGCUGACAAGAGGUCGAGCCUUGUUUCGAAAAGCGGUGGAUAAGCGAGGAGGGAAUGGAUGGCGUUGAAAUGGAGUCUGAAGAGCGUGAAUUCUUUUGGGGCGUCACUGCUGUCUGUCUCUUGGAUCCCAUCUCGUCACUUGGGCGUCUCCUGGGAAGCGUCCUUUUGUUCAGCUCAGCCAACACUCCAUUCUUUGACGGAGUGGUUGACGUUGAGUCGUUCUGUUUAAUGUAAUAACCUCAUCACCUCACUUUGGGCUGAUUACUAUUAUUAUUAAUGAUUUUCGGUAUAUGGUUUGAGUGGCUCGUAAAGGGCUUGCACGAGUGUUAUGCUAAUUUUAUGCCAAAUGGAGGGUUUUAGAAAGUAGGCAAUGCUUCGGUGUGUCUUGAAAGCAGCAGAAAUGUUGCCCCGUGGAUAGUAAACAUUUUUCCGCCGCUUGCCAUUAUGAUCGGUGACUCCAGCCAUAACUGUCCCUGGUGUGUGAUGCAAGGCUGUUGUGUCUGCCUGGCCCCUUACCCGCCCUCUGCUUGCGUAACACCCGCCCUUUGUUCACCGCGGCCCGUGUAAUGCUUGAUUCACUGCUACAAAUGUAAAUUGAAAUCCAUUGCUGUUAAGUAAGAGUGAGUGCACAUGGGAUUGUCAGAAUGUAUUAAACUCGUGUCGGGUUAUGUGUGAUUGUUAUGCCAUUUGUGAAAUAUUGUAUGUAUUAAUACUCGUAUAUUAAAAGUGUGAUGAUUGCA